ACAAGGCAAAGAGACCAACAGGUUCCAGUCUGACAACAUUCCAGAGUCUGAUCGGACAACUUUCCUAACUAGAGCCCUCCCCCAAUCUAGAAGAGUGGUGGUAACUUUCCAGUACCUGACUAAAGGCCAAUGAGAGACCCCCCACGUACCCUAGGUAAGCCAAUCCCCGUGCCACUGUAUUCCUUUGCUAUCCCUCCCCCUGCCUUCUUUAAAAAUUAGCUGCCUGCCCUGCUGAAUGUGACUUCCCCGGCCUGUGAAAGCCAGACCUGGGAACAUCACCCGAAAAUUGCACUCAAGUAAACUGCCUGGCCCUUCGUUGCCUCUCGUCACCUGCUUAUUUUGGCUAAAAUUUAUCUUAUACCAGCAACCUCGGAGAAAGCACCCCAAAAGGCUGGGGUUCCCCCUUUUAAGGAUUCGUCAGAAAUAUGACUAAGGCCUGGGGGUGCAGACCUGUUAAGUGGUGUUUGAAUACUUAAAAUUAACAACACAAGGAACUUCCUGCUCUGAUUUCUCCCUGGGACGCCCAUCAUUCUUGGCCUGGGAGCCUAUCAAACAAGGUUGCCUGCCCAACCCCCAAGGUGGGCCGAGUUAUUGUCUGUUUGCUAAACAGUAAGUUAAGAAUGUUACUUCUUAACUUCCUGCCUUUUACUAUAUUUAUGGCUUGGCCUGCACGCUAGAUUAGUUACCUAGGUUGCAAACUACUUGAGGAGGGCCCAAGGAGGAAAAAACAGCAUAUAGGUAAAGUGAAAAAAUAAGCUGGGCUUGUAUGAUUAACAUAAUAAAGACAUGGGCUAUGCUGAAGUACCCUCCUUUAUCUGGGGAAUAUUCAAACAUUCCAGGCCAAGUUGCUCCUGGCUUUUUGAGCUUUAACUGAUUAAUUCUGGGUCUUUCUAGUGGACUUUCCUGGCCUUUUUCCCUUUCCACCUCGCUCAUAUCUAUUUUCUUCCCAGACAGGAAGGACUAUAACAAAAUGUGUUAAAAUCUUAAAAUUUCUCACGGUGCCCCACUGUUUCUGUAUGGCCCCCCAACUAUUUUGUUUAAAAUAUUUACUCUUUUUAUAUACCUGUGAACUGUUUCCAUUUUCCUUAAAGUCUCAGGCCCCCACACCCUUCUCUUUGGUUCAGGAUGACAUCUAUAUCUCAUUCUCCCUGACCAUCUUUGGAAGCCACAUCUAUGGCUUCCCCGUAUGUAUGUAAUUAAACUUGUUUUUUCCUGUUGGUCUAUCUCAUGUCAAUAUGACAUAAACCAGCUAGAAGAACUUCCAGGGGUAGAGGAAAUGUCUUCCUAAUGUUAGGCAGGAAAAUAGACAUGAGCAGGGUGGAAAGAAAACAAGGUCAGUAAAGCCCCCUAGAAAGGACUUGGUUAACCAGUUAAAACUAGAAAUCCAGAAAAGACUCAGAGUUAAUGAGUUAAUCAGUUAAAGCCUAAAAGGUCAAGAGCAACCCAUAUAAAAGUAUCUGAGCACAGCCCAUGUCUUCAUUGUGUUAAUUAGAUCAUUAAGAUUUACUCUAGCCUGCUAAAAGGCCCACCUAUAAACAGCAUAAUAAAGACAGGGAGAUCCCACCUUAAAGCCAAAAUUGCAUUUUGAAAAAAAACACCCCAAGUAGUUAAGAAGAAAGAUUCUUAACAUACUCUUUAGCACCCCAAAUAACUCUGCCCACCUUGGAGGAAGGACUGUCUUGACUGAUAAGCUAAUUUUGCAGAAUUACCUAGAGGGCUGAUAAGAAACUUAACAUCUUAUCAAAGAUACUUUAGACCACUUAAGUCCACACCCCUAGCCCUUUGUCACUGUAAGGCUGGAGGCCCCGGAGGGAGGGGUGAGCAUGUCAGACGAGCUCACCCUCACCAAAUAAGGAAAGGGGGCGGCAAAGCCCCCAACUCUGGCCUAGUAAGGGAAAGAGACCAUCAGAUUCUGGCCUGAUGACGUGCCAAAAUCUCUGGCUGCUGCCUCCUCCCAACCUGUAAAAUGAGGAGUAACUUUCUAGCUAUUUGUCUACUGUAAAGGCCAAUGACAUGUGCCUUAGGGUAGCCAAUCCUCGCACCACUGUAGACCUAUGCUCUCCCUCCCCCUAACUUCUUUAUAAACUCACUGCCUGGCCUGCUGGGCACAACUUCUCCAGCCUGUGACUAACUAGACUGGCAAACAUCGCCCAGGAUUGUGCCCUAUUAAAUUUUUGGCUCCUCUGUUGCCUCCUUGCCUGAUCAUUUUGGUUUGAUUUAACCUUACAUCUGGUGCCAAAACCUGGGAAGGAGAUAAGGUGUGGGGCUCCAGCCAGCCACCGGUAGCUCCCACCCCUCCUUACCCAAUCCAGUACCUCCACCUACUCUCAGCACUUUGAACAGUGAUUUGGUGAGUCCCUCCUUUCCCUGGUCUGUUUUCCCAGUCCUGUCUCCACCUGGUUCAGUUAACUUCAAAAUCAUAGCUACGUCCAGGUUCUCCAGGCAUUAAGCCUGUCCUGGUCCCGAGAUAGAGGAGACGUCCUCAUCCAGGCUCCCAGAUCUCCGGGGAAGAGUACGAUACUUCCCUGUCUCCUCCUAACCUGAGCGAGUUUGGGACGCUGGGCUCACCAGUUUAGGGGCUCUGGGAAAUGGGUAACAGACAUGGGGAACCAGUCCUCUAAAUUGAAGGCUCAGACCCCUCUGCAGUGUCUCAUAUCCAAUCUGGCAACCCUAGAUAUAGUGGAGGAGAUCUGUAAACGGAAACUGGUCCGACUCUGUUCUCAGACUUGGCCCUAGUAUCCUCUGGCCCCCAGAGCGAACUUUUGAUUUUAGCCUUCUCACCAACCUAACUUCUGUCACCGAACUGGGAAGUGGUCUGAAGUCCCGUAUGUCCAGACCUUUUGGACAUAGCGCUCCCGCCCUGACCUUUAUGUUAAGUGUUCAAUGACCCAGGUUCUCCUGGCCCGGUCUCCAGUUAAGGAGUGUCAGCCUCUUACUCUGCCCAGUCCUUCCUCCUUUUCAGAUCCGCCGGAGGACCUUGGUUGCCCACCUCCCUCAGCCCAUGAUCCCCUCCCCUUGCAUCGCCACCAUCUUUAGGUCCCUUGUCCUCACCCACAUCAUCGCCAUCUUUAGGUCCUUUGUCCUCACUUCGCUGCCAUCUUUAGGUCCUUCAUUCUCAGCCAUGCCAUCUUCCUGCUCCUCUUCCUGUGUCUGCACCACCCUCUGCCCCUCUCCUUCCAUCUUCACUGCCCUCUUUCCCCACUGGAACAGGCUCCUCCUACCCUCUGGUUCCGGAAGCCAUGGACAAGACUACCCCCAGCACAGACCCACCUCCUUUCUCUCCCGACCCUACAACCCUCCCCACACCCACUGUUCCAUAUUUGUAUCCUUUCCUGGCAUUGCCGCUGUCUUCUCCUUCACUUCCUGUUCCCACCCUGCCACCAACUUAUGUACCCAUGCCACCCUUAGCUCCCAGUUGGUCUAGCCCUCUGGUCCAAGGCCCAGUGGCCACCCCAAAGGUCCAACUAGCAGCCUCUUGCCGAGAGGUUACAGGGGCAGAAGAGGUUGUCCAGAUUCAUGCCCCUUUUUCCCUAGGAAACAUCCCAAAUUGAGAGACUCCUGGGCUCUUAUUCCUCUAACCCCACAGUUAAUACCAAAGAGUUUGACUACCUAACUCAAGCCCAUGAACUUACCUGGCAUGAUAUACAUGUUAUCCUAACCUCCACUCUUACCUCAUAUGACUGUGUUACCUCUGUCUCCCGACAUUGUGCAAACAAGGCACAUAACACGGAUCAGGCCAAGCCAAUUGGGACAGAGGCAGUUCCUCUCACAAACCCCCAAUGGGACUAUAAUACCCAAGAUGGGGGAACACAGACGGACCGAAUGCUCUAGUAUUUACUGGCAGGUAUGAAUAAGAUGGCUCAAAAGGCCAUUAAUUAUGAUAAGCUGAAAGAUUACUCAGAGACCUGAUGAGAACCCAGCCUGUUUUCUUGACUGGCUCACCGAGGCUUUCUCUAUACAUACCUGCCUCAACCCCAACUCAUCACUGGGGUCCACGGUGUUGGCUACUCAUUUUAUUACCCAGUCAGCACAGACAUAAGAUGUAAGUUAAAAAUGGGCAGAGGAGGAGCCCCAGUCUCCACUCCAUGACCUGGUAACCAUGGCCUUUAAAGUCUUUAAUACCUGUGAUGAAGAACAUGAGAGGAGGAUAGCAUCCCAGACCCGAGCCUUCGCAGUGACCCCACUGACCAGUAGAACAGGGGUCUCACCACACCAAAGACUGGUCCGAAGCUCAUGAGCCUCCAGGAUCUUCCUUCUGGCGUGGCCAGGAAGGCCACUGGGCAAUGAGAUGCCCCAACCCGACCAAAAUAGGCUGACCAAACCCUGCCCGGUUUGCAGUAAAAGAAGUCAUUGGAAGGUAGAGUGCCUGGCUGGGGAAGGUUGUCCUCCCGUGACAGAGUCUUGUGGGAGGCAGGCCCCCCUAAGGAACUCUCCUCCAGACCUUCUUGGCCUACUUGAAGACUGGACUUGAACACCCCUAUCACCCUUGCUGAGCCCAGGACCAUGCUGUGGGAAACAGAAAAGUUGGGAAUAGCAACUGGAGUGCUGGUCCCAGCCAGUAGGACCCAGACACCAACUGGUCACUUUCCUGUCAAAACAACUGGAUCCCACCACUAAGGGGUGGCAACCCUGCCUUAGAGCCCUGGCAGUGGCAGCGUGCCUUGCCAAAGAAGCUCUGAAACUAACCCUCCUACAGGUGAUAACCGUAUACUCUUAUCAUUUACAGGACCUUCUGGGCCACAAAUCCUUGGCCUCUCUCAGCCCAUCACGAGUGCAGGAAUUUCACCUCCUAUUUAUUGAGCACCCCCAGUUAACUUUACAGGUGUCACCAUCAUUACACCCAACCAGCCUCCUUCCUCCCUCCAGUUCAUCUGCCACACCCAGCCACUCCUCCACAGAGCUGGUAGAAACUCUUUGACUCCUACAAGAGGGUCUCCAGGACACACCUCUCACUGACCCAGACUUAAUUGUCCAUGAAUGGAAGCUCAAUCAGGGAUUCAAAUGGGUGUAGGGGAGCGGCCUACACGGUAGUUUCCUCCUCCUCAGAAAUAGUGGAGGCAGCUCCCCUGCCGAUGGGAACCACCUCCCAAAAGGCAGAACUAGUAGCCCUCACCCAAGCCUUACAGUUGGCAGCAGGACUUAGGGUAACCAUUUACACCAACUCAAAGUAUGCUUUCCUAAUCGCACACAGCCAUGCAGCAAUCUGGAAGGAAAGGGGAUUCCUCACUACCCAAGGGACCCUGAUUGUAAAUGAUAAAACAAUUCAUCACCUACUCCAGGCCUUACAGGAAACCAAGGAGGUGGCUAUUGUUCAUUGCUGGGGACACCAGACAGGUACUGACCUGGUCACUAAAGGGAAUUCUCUAGCCGAUGCUACUGCCCAACAACUAACCUCGGGUCCUGAUUAUUCCCCAGUAUUGUUUCUCUCCCCCUCUAUAACUCCUAAUUAUUCCAAAGAGGAAAAACAACAACGUUUAGACCAGGGUGGAAUGGCUGGACAACAGGGAUGGAUACAUCUUAAGGACAGGAUAACUCUUCCCCAGGCCCAUGCCAGGGAAAUCAUAUUUACAGUUCACCAAUUCCUCCAUAUUGGUCCAGAGGCUAUGUACAGGUUUCUCUCCCCUAUCUUUGCCCCACCUGGGCUCCAAAAGACCAUUAACCAGGUACAUAUGGCUUGCACCACCUGUCAUCAUGUUUCUUCUCAAGGCACCCUCAAAUGCUGUGCAGCCCUCCACCAGCUGCAGGGGAGCGCUACCUGGACAGGAUUGGCAGAUUGAUUUUACCCACAUGCCUAGACACAAGAAGCUCAGAUAUUUACUGGUUAUGGUUGAUACACUUUCAUGUUGGAUCAAGGCCUUUCCUACCUGCCAAGAGACUAUGCCAGUAGUGGCAAAGACGUUAGUGGAACCCAUCAUCCCUUGUUUUGGCCUCCUGAUGUCGCUGCAGACAAUGGACCAGCUUUCAUCUCAAAGGUCACACAACUGGUGGCUGGCUCUCUAAAUAUCUCCUAUUAACUACACAUACCCUAUCACCCUCAAUCCUCAGGUAAGGUGGAAAGGGCCAAUGGCCUUCUCAAGGAUCAACUUUCCAGACUCUCUUUAGAGGUAAAGACCUCCUGGUCAGACCUACUCCCAAUUGCUCUCACCUGAUUGCGAGAAGUCCCCAGGGGACCCACUGGACUAAGUGCCUUUGAGUUAAUGUAUGGUAGACCCUUCUUUCUAAACACAGGCCUGCCUACAACUCCACCCCCUCUAGCCUCCUACCUACCUUACUUCUCACUCCUAAGACAUCUCCUCAGGGAACAUGCAGACCAAUUCCUGCCUCAACCCACCUCCCCCUCGAAUCCAAGAAUCACGGAGGUUCUACAGCCGGGAGAUGAAGUCCUUCUUAAAGAACUCCUACCUCGGUCCCUCCAACCAUGGUGGAUGGGACCAUACAUGGUGGUCCUUACCACUCCCACAGCUGCCAAGCUAUUGGGACACUCCCUGUGGUACCACAUCUCCAGGCUCAAACAAGCACCCAGUCAUGAUAGGUGGGGGUCCAGAGAGACAGGGCACCUCCGUUUGUGCCUUACUCACACUAGUGCUGGCCACAAUGACCCAUCUGGCUCUGGCAAACUGGGUCUGUAACCAGUGCAUCAUAUAAGGCAUGCUCCAACCCCACCAAUUGGUCCCCUGGACAUGCUACUUUCAAAAAGUACCUUGUUGCAGGGAUAUCAAUUGUACUGGGCCGCUAUAAUGUUAAGAGAUUUCCAAACUAGCUGCCCAGGAGGAGUCGGCAAGACCAUUUGCUAGGUACGAGACCCUCCACCAAAUCCCCAAGGAAAGAUAACCCCUUGUUCUACCCAAUGCUCAUCUUUGUAUUCCUUCAUCCAGGCUACCUGCUAUGAACGAGCCUGGGUCUGUCUCUCAUCUUCCAGACAACACUACUGGAUGGGGCAAAGCCUGGAUAAUCGUGCAGAUAUGUCUGUCCUGAGAGACAAGGACAACAUAUCUGCUGGAACCUCCAGACACCGAUAGGUCAAUGGUAGAAGUGCACAAGACUAUGCUGGUACAUCAGUACUCGCCCCUUCCCUCCAAGCCUCCUCCAGCCUCCCACCAGCCUUAACCCUGCCCACACCACCCCUCCUCAGCUGGAAGUAGCCAGUUCGAGUCAGCACCCAUUAUAACCAAAAAGCUGGAAUGUAAGGCUGGAGGCAUCAGAGGGAGGGGUGAGCACGUCAGACAAGCUCACCCUCACCAAAUAAGGAAAGGGGGCAGCAAAGCCCCCAACUCUGGCCUAGUAAGGGAAAGAGACCAACAGAUUCCAGCCUGAUGACAUGCCAAACUCCCCGGCUGCUGCCCCCUCCCAACCUGGAAAAGGAGUAGUAGCUUUCUAGCCAUUUGUCUACUGUAAAGGCCAAUGAUGUGUGCCUUAGGCUAGCCAAUCCUUGUGCCACUGUAGACCUAUGCUCUCCCUCCCCCUAACUUCUUUAUAAACUCACUGCCUGCCCUGCUGGGCACUUCUCUGGCCUGUGACUAACCAGACUGGCAAACAUUGCCCAGGAUUGCACCCUAUUAAACUUUUGGCUCCUUUUUUGCUUCCUCACCUGGUCAUUUUGGCUCGAUUUUACCUUACAGUCACAUUCCUGAAAAAUCCUUAAAAGGGGGAACACCCAACCUUUCAGGGCACACCUCUCUCUGAGGACUCCUGCACUUCUUUCUAAGUAAUUUUAAAUAAAACUUUUACUCUGCUUCAUGA